UAGGGAAUAUUGCUCAAUGGGCGAAAGCCUGAAGCAGCAACGCCGCGUGUGUGAUGAAGGCCUUCGGGUCGUAAAGCACUUUUCUUGGGAGAUGAGAAAGGACAGUAUCCCAGGAAUAAGUCUCGGCUAACUACGUGCCAGCAGCCGCGGUAAAACGUAGGAGGCGAGCGUUAUCCGGAUUCACUGGGCGUAAAGCGCGUGCAGGUGGCGCGGUAAGUUGGGCGUGAAAUCUCCCGGCUCAACUGGGAGAGGUCGUCCAAUACUACCGUGCUUGAGAGCAGAAGAGGAAGAUGGAAUUCCCGGUGUAGUGGUGAAAUGCGUAGAUAUCGGGAGGAACACCAGUGGCGAAAGGCGAUCUUCUGGUCUGUUCUUGACACUCAGACGCGACAGCUAGGGUAGUAAACGGGAUUAGAGACCCCGGUAAUCCUAGCCGUAAACGAUGUGAACUUGGCGUUGGUGGGUUAAACUCCAUCAGUGCCGUAGCAAACGCGAUAGUU
rnacentral:rRNA from 1 species